AUGAGUAUUUUGCUGCAUGUGAAGUAUGUUUUCUCGGUCCCUGCAAACAUCAGCAGGCGGCUUGCAGGCCUAUGGAUCUUUAGAAUGAUUCCACGCUUUCUUUUCCAGACUAGGCCAGAACUAUUUUGCAGCAGGCCUCGCAAGGAAUACUGGCAGGUCUCUUACUACUUAGCAGUCGCUGCAAAUGGACGGCAUAUGUACAUGGAUCCAAUCAGCUCUUUGCAAACAGCCUCUCAGCUCUCAUGUACUUUGCAAUGAACAAUCUGGGCAAAUAAAAAGGGACACGAGACAAACCAAGGCAGAGUCGAGUAAGUCUGCAGUAGUGUAAAAACUUUCAGCCAGGUGGUGCAUAGCUCUGCGGGAAGGGUGUGAGGACUCCUAAUCCACCUACCAUCACCCUGCAUUGGCAAGAAGUGCAAUCCGGAUCCUUGCAUGCCCGGCCCAAAAGAACCAGGGACUCUAGUGUAAUUGCUCAAGCAUUUGCACAUGCACUCAGCAGGUUCUGCAGUAGGAGAGCGUGGGUCUUUGUCCCCCUCUAAUGCUUGGUCAACAUAAGAGGUUAAUAGAUCAGCUAUAACUUCUAGCUAGAAGACUUAAGCCCAGCUCCUCAAAAGUAUCUAGGUACCUAAUUGCCAUUGAUUUCAAUGAGAGCUGAGAAACAGCUAAGACAUGUUUAUCUUGGAAUGCAAAUCACCAAUGCAAAGUUCUAAUUGCUGCAGGUUAACUGCAUGUUUUGCAUUUUACCACGAGUCCGUGGGAUCCGGAUGGAGAGAGAAACAUUUCCCUGGCCAGCGUAACCCACUGAGAGGCUGACAGAUCCUUCCCACUUCAAAGAAAAGCGCAUUGAUGUCACUUAGCUGGAGCUACCGGAAUGCCCACUCCACAGGAAGCACUCGGCAUGGGACAGUCAUUUUCUUGGACAUGAAAAGUACUGCUGAUCUGGGCAGGAAGCAGCAUGAGAGAAGGAAGAGGAAGUAGGAAGAGUUACUCAGGACUGAGUUGUUCAAAGUCAGCGUUUGCUCUAGACACAGAGCCGAGGGCUAAGUCUGAUGAGGAACCUUUGGACUCCAUCAGCACAGACUGCACAUUCACCCCAGAGGCCACUUCCCUGGAACUUCAGCCCACAGUGUGAUGCCUGCAAUUGACAAUCAUUACAAGGGGGGGUCAGAGAAGAACCAGCGCCUCAGUUAAUAAGUCAGUUUGUCUCCAUCUUCUACGCUCAAUAGAACUUACUGUUUAAACAUUUUGCCGAGAAAUAGGACAGUGCUAACCUCACUCAGAAACCCCUGCAAACAAAACAAGCCUGUUAAACCAAAAAGGAGAAAGGGCACUUCUUAGCUUCCCCAUUGUGCUGUAAAUGGACCACUUUGGGACAGCUUUGCAGGCGCAGGAGGAAAGCAGCAGCCACAGAGAAUGGUUUGUCUCUUGCAAUUUUUCAAUCAAUAUCUGGACAUUCACCAACUAAAAGCUAAGAGGAGAAAGUGGCAGGAGUUGGAACAGGAGGGAAGCUGAAAGGAGAUACUGUACAGGAAGGAAGGAGAAGACUGCAAGGCCUGCAGAAAGGAAGAGACCCCGGUGAAACGGCCCAGACUGGAGGGGAAAAAAGGAGGAAAUAGAGGAAAGAAAAGUCGCUGUGCUCAGAGAGAUCCGGCCGCUGAACUACAGUGGACUUAAUACUAAAGAGGGUGGUGUGACGUUCCCCUCUGGUGUUAUCUGGACCAGUGAUCUGCUAGGUCACUCCAAUCCUUGACUCUGGGAGCCAGCCUUACCCUGCUCUGCUGUGAGGACCUCCUCUCCACCGGGCUGUUCACACACAUCCUCUGGCACAUAAGCUGCGUCCAGCUACUUGCAAGUGAAUGACACUAGCCAAUAUCUCCAGUCCCAGACACAACCCUGGGAAC